rnacentral:rRNA from 1 species
AGCCGUUCUCAGUUCGGAUCGGAGUCUGCAACCCGACNCCGUGAAGCUGGAUUCGCUAGUAAUCGCGCAUCAGCCAUGGCGCGGUGAAUACGUUCCCGGGCCUUGUACACACCGCCCGUCAAGCCAUGGAAGCCGGGGGCGCUUGAAGUGCGUUGCCGCAAGGCGCGCCCUAGAGCGAAACCGGUGACUGGGGCUAAGUCGUAACAAGGUACC